UGGGGAAUUUUUGGACAAUGGGGGAAACCCUGAUCCAGCCAUCCCGCGUGUGCGAUGAAGGGCCUUCGGGUUGUAAAGCACUUUUUGGGCAGGAAAGAAACGUCGCGGGUUAAUACCCCGCGAAACUGACGGUACCUGAGAAUAAGCACCGGCUAACUACGUGCCAGCAGCCGCGGUAAUACGUAGGGUGCAAGCGUUAAUCGGAAUUACUGGGCGUAAAGCGUGCGCAGGCGGUUCGGAAAGAAAGAUGUAAAUCCCAGAGCUUAACUUUGGAACUGCAUUUUUUAACUACCGGGCUAGAGUGUGUCAGAGGGAGGUGGAAUUCCGCGUGUAGCAGUGAAAUGCGUAGAUAUGCGGAGGAACACCGAUGGCGAAGGCAGCCUCCUGGGAUAACACUGACGCUCAUGCACGAAAGCGUGGGGAGCAAACAGGAUUAGAUACCCUGGUAGUCACGCCCUAAACGAUGUCAACUAGCUGUUGGGGCCUUCGGGCCUUGGUAGCGCAGCUAACGCGUGAAG
rnacentral:rRNA from 1 species